rnacentral:tRNA from 1 species
UGCCAGUGUAGCUCAGCCGGUUAGAGCACCGCUCUCAUAAGGCGGGGGUCGUCGGUUCGAUUCCGACCGCUGGCAU